GACGAACGCUGGCGGCGUGCUUAACACAUGCAAGUCGAACGGAAAGGCCCUGCUUUUGUGGGGUGCUCGAGUGGCGAACGGGUGAGUAACACGUGAGUAACCUGCCCUUGACUUUGGGAUAACUUCAGGAAACUGGGGCUAAUACCGGAUAGGAGCUCCUGCUGCAUGGUGGGGGUUGGAAAGUUUCGGCGGUUGGGGAUGGACUCGCGGCUUAUCAGCUUGUUGGUGGGGUAGUGGCUUACCAAGGCUUUGACGGGUAGCCGGCCUGAGAGGGUGACCGGCCACAUUGGGACUGAGAUACGGCCCAGACUCCUACGGGAGGCAGCAGUGGGGAAUAUUGCACAAUGGACGGAAGCCUGAUGCAGCAACGCCGCGUGCGGGAGGACGGCCUUCGGGUUGUAAACCGCUUUCGCCUGUGACGAAGCGUGAGUGACGGUAAUGGGUAAAGAAGCACCGGCUAACUACGU
rnacentral:rRNA from 1 species